rnacentral:misc_RNA from 1 species
GAAAUGCGAUAAGUAGUGUGAAUUGCAGAAUUCAGUGAAUCAUCGAAUCUUUGAACGCACAUUGCGCCCCUUGGUAUUCCAUGGGGCAUGCCUGUUCGAGCGUCAUUUGUACCCUCAAGCUCUGCUUGGUGUUGGGUGUUUGUCCCGUCUCCGCGCGUGGACUCGCCCCAAAGUGAUUGGCAGCCGGCGUACUGGUCCCGGAGCGCAGCACAUGUCGCGCAAACGAGUGCCUUGGUACGGCGGCGUCCAUAAGCCCCUCUCUCACGCUCUUGACCUCGGAGCAGGUAGGGAUACCCGCUGAACUUAAGC